AUAUAGCAUGUAGAAAAUUUAAUGAUGCGCAUGGGUAAACCUUAUUUGGUGGAACUGGAACCAUCUCUGACUUUGUUGGUUUUAUUAAAACCAACAAAGCCAGACCCAUUUUCUAGGUAUUGCAAUUUUUGUUGCAAUAAUCCAGGUAUUUUUUCCUUUGUAAAAGCCAAUCCCAAGGAAUUGCAUGAUGCACCUAGCCAAAUCAAGUGAUUAACAUCGCCAUAUCAUGAACAAUUAUGUUAGGCAACUAAGAAAUUAAAUUGUUAGAAGAAUACCAUAUUCCAUCA
rnacentral:misc_RNA from 1 species